GGUUGUAUGGUGUAGCGGUUAGCACAUGAGACUCUGAAUCUCAUGACCCGAGUUCGAUUCUCGGUACGACCU
rnacentral:tRNA from 2 species